rnacentral:rRNA from 1 species
UACGUAGGGGGCGAGCGUUGUCCGGAUUCAUUGGGCGUAAAGAGCUCGUAGGCGGUUCGGUAAGUCAGAUGUGAAAACUCCAGGCUCAACUUGGAGAGGCCAUCUGAUACUGCUGUGACUAGAGUCCGGUAGGGGAGCACGGAAUUCCUGGUGUAGCGGUGAAAUGCGCAGAUAUCAGGAGGAACACCAGCGGCGAAGGCGGUGCUCUGGGCCGGGAACUGACGCUGAGGAGCGAAAGCGUGGGUAGCGAACAGG